rnacentral:lncRNA from 1 species
AGCAACCCUCCUGCCUUGGCCCCCCAAAGUGUUGGGAUUACAGGCAUGAGCCACCAUGCCUAGCUCCACAUCAGGUAUUUCUAAUGAGAAUUGAACCUACAAAUUGAAAUGUUGCUUCAACAACAGAAGAUGGAGAUGGGAAGAGAAUGGUGGGGGAUGUGGUAGCAAAGAAGCUAUUCCAAUGAUCCAACCUCAAGAUCAUGCAAAUGUGAACUAAAGCAAUGGCAUCAGGAUGGAGCAGAGAAGAUGGACUGGAGAGAGUUUUAGGAGGUGGAGGAAGGUAGCCUGGGCCCAACUGAACUCACUGUGUAUUCAGAAAAUAACCCACAGUUGGGAAAUUCA